AGUUGAAUCCUUUUCUCACCUGAGAGAGGCAUGUGAUGUGGGAUGUUCACUGGACGAAGAGGAAGGCCAUUCAAUCCUGGUUCCAACUCAGCCACAAACCUUUGGUAACUCACACAUGCUCCCGGGGCCUCCAUCAUCUCUUCUGUAAACUGUGUUGGGAGAGCCUCACUCCUUAAAGUCUGGUCUGUGGAUCAGCAGCAUCUGCAUCACCUGGAAGCUUGCUAGAAAUGCGGGAUCUUGGGCCCCACCCCAGACCUGCUGACUCAGUAUCUGAUUUUAACAAGACCUCGGAGAUUCGAGUGCGUGGAAAAGUUGGUGAGGCCCUGGUGUAGAUUGCUUCUGGAGAAGACAAUGACAGUAGCACUGUUGUCAGCCACCGAGCUGCAGGGAUUUGGCAUUCACUCUCAGGAUCUGGGAUUUUGGUUUAGGGGCAGCCAACCGAUAUUUGCUAUAAAAUUACUAAGAAUGGAACCACCACCAGUAACAAUACCCAUUUAUUAAGCACCUCUGGGCUCUGAGCACUAUAGAAUGAAAGAAGUGGAAUGAUCAUGCAUCCUUGCUUAUUUCCAUACACACCUCCCCUGUCUUGAGCACUCAGAAGAGAUCAGCAGAAGUGGAAGGAGAGAGAGAGAAGUCCUAACGGGAUCAAAAUGGAGGCCAUUCUUACAGCUGCCUGGUGAAGAUGGUUGAUGAACGGGACCUGGAGAUGGGCAACAGGACCUCACAGAGUCGUUUUUAUAGUUGCAUUUGGCUGUGCACUGCACAUCCUUCUUUCACAUUCCUCAAGUCCUGGGUUAACGAACUCCAUCAUGGAUUGUUAUAUGCAGACUAUGGUGUAGUAGGCAGAGUAAUGGCCCCCAAAGAUGUCCAUAUCCUAAUCCCCGAAACCUGAGAAGGCGUUACCUUAGAUGGCAAAGGGGAUUUUGCAGAUGUGAUAUAGUUAAGGAUCUUGAGAUGGGGAGAUUAGCCAGGAUUAUCCAAAUGGGCCCAAUGUAAUCACAAGGGUCCUUACACCAGGAAAGCAGGAGAGUCAGAGAAGUAGAAGGAGAAGUGAUGACGGGAGCAGAGUUUGGAGUGAUGCCAUUGCUGCUGGAAGGGAGCCAAUAAGCCAAGGAAGCGGAAAAGGCAAGGAAGGGAUUCUUCUCCAGAGCUUCCAGAAGGAACUAGCCCUGCCAACACCUUGAUUUUAGAAGCAUUUUUGGACUUCUGACCUCCAGAACUGUAAGAUAAUUUGUUUAUGUUGUUUCAUGCCACUAAGUUUGUGGCAAUUUGUUACCGCAGUCACAGGAGACUAAUACACCAGGAACAAGAGCAGCCUUCCUAUCACAGUCAAGAUUCCUCAGCCCACAGGGGCAAAACCAGGCUCCUGGCCACUCUGACAGAGUCCCGCGUUAGGAACGUGUCACUCAUUGGGAUGCGCUGCAGGUGACACCCAGACCACGGCCCACUGUGCCUGCAGAGGCUCUCCCUGAGAGAGCUCCCUCACCAAAAGGAAGGACACUCGCUCCCUGCCCCCACCCUCGACCACUUCUCUUAUUUUUAUAACUAACAACCGCCACUGUCAUAAAAGUUCAGCCUUCCCAAUUUUUCUGAGCAUUUAAAGUAUUUUAAGAAAAAUAGAGUAUUAUUUUGCCACGGAACCCUUUGCAAUAGAUUUACAUAAUCCACACCACCAGGGAAGCUAUCAAUUUUAAUCAGAUGUUGCAACAAUUAGUUCAUCUGUAAGGUCUGAAGAAUUAAUGUUGCUGUCUAUGUGAGGACAAUUAUAUAUCUAUUCAAUGACAUCAUAAUAAUACUCCAUCACUAUCCUACAACUUUCUAAGCAUUCCAUCAGGCUUGACAAACUUUGUUAAAGGUUCACUCUAGCUUUUGGUGUAUAAGUAGCCAUAGGUGGGCUUUCGCUAGGAGCAUGAGAUCUUUCAUUUUGGAUGUCCCAAUGAUCCUGUCAACUGCCAUGUUGUUUUUCCAACAACAACCAAGUCUCCAAUUCUCCACCUCAACUGGGUGUCCUGCAAUUUAAUUCAAUUGAGACACUACCCAGAGUUAGCAGAGACCCCACACAUUAAGGGCUUAGUCCCACAAGACUGCCUGCACUUCAGACACCAGCCACAAAUGGGGUCCCCAGCCUACCCACACUUCUGCCUGGCCAACUACAAAUUCGAAGGUUCUCACGACCCGCCCCCCACUCAGGUUCGAUAAUUCACUAGAACAACUCACAGGAAAGCACUAUACUUAUGAUUACAGUUUACUAUAAAAGAUACAAAUGGACAGCCAGAUGAAGAGGCACAUAGGGUGAGGUCCAGAAGUAUCCUGAGCACAGGACUUCUGUCCCCGUGGAGUUGGGGUGUGCCAUCCU
rnacentral:lncRNA from 1 species